rnacentral:rRNA from 1 species
UACGUAGGUCCCGAGCGUUGUCCGGAAUUACUGGGUGUAAAGCGCGUGUAGGCGGCAGGCCAAGUCUGUGGGUGAAAAUCGCUCGGCUCAACUGGGCGGGGUCCAUGGAAACUGGUCAGCUGGAGGACGGUAGAGGGUGAGUGGAAUUCCCGGUGUAGUGGUGAAAAUGCGUAGAUAUCCGGAGGAACACCGGUGGCGAAGGCGGCUUCCUGGACCGACACUGACGCUGAGGCGCGAAAGCUAGGGGGAGCAAACGGG